CAUGGAUCUAUGAUGCAAUUGUUAACUGCGUUAUCUUUCUUGAACUUCAAAGUACUGAAGAAGACAAUACUGACUGAGAUCCAAG
rfam:Brachypodium distachyon strain Bd21 chromosome 2, whole genome shotgun sequence.